rnacentral:tRNA from 1 species
GGAGCCAUGGCUCAGUGGCAGAGCACCUGCUUGGCAUGCAGAAGAUCCCUGGUUCAGUUCCCAGCAUCUCCA